GCCAUAAUAGUUUAGUGGUUAGAAUACGUCGUUGUGGUCUACGAUCAUUAGUAAUCCGACGUGACCCAUGUUCGAUUCAUGGUUAUGGCAC
rnacentral:tRNA from 1 species